CAGUUUGACAGUUCUCUUCUGUUGAUCUUGUUCGGACUUGAUUGCAACCGAGUCGAACCAGUUGUUGUUGCUUUUAGGCUUUUGGAGGAUUUUGGAAGUUAAUAGAUUUCGGUCUUCGUGGCGGAGGAGGAGGAGGACGGGAAAUAUGGUUUACUCGGCCGGCCAUUCCGGAAGACGGGACGGAAAGGAACCAGUUUGCGAUCGUGGAAGCGGUUGGUGUUUGGUGUUUGGUGUUUUACCGUCCGCGGGAGGUUGCGACGCAUACCUAAUGGAACUGG
rnacentral:lncRNA from 1 species